GAUGAACGCUGGCGGCGUGCCUAAUACAUGCAAGUCGAGCGAACAGAUGAGGAGCUUGUUCCUCUGACGUUAGUGGCGGACGGGUGAGUAACACGUGGAUAACCUAACCAUAAGACUGGGAUAACUUCGGGAAACCGGAGUUAAUACCGGAUAAUAUAUUCAACCGCAUGGUUCAAUAGUGAAAGAUGGUUUUGCUGUUACUUAUAGAUGGAUCCGCGCCGCAUUAGCUAGUUGGUAAGGUAACGGCUUACCAAGGCAACGAUGCAUAGCCGACCUGGGAGGGGAUUCGUCCACACUGCGACAGGAUCACGGUCCAGACUCCUACGGGGAGCAGCAGUAGGGAACUUUCCGCGAUAGGCGUAAGCCUGACGGAGCAACGCCGCAUAGGUUAUGGAGGUCUUCGGGUCGUAAAACUCUAUUAUUAGGGAAGAACAAAUUUGUAAGUAACUGAACACAUCUUGACGGUACCUGAGCAGAAAGCCACGGCUAACUACGUG
rnacentral:rRNA from 1 species